GGAUGAACGCUGGCGGCGUGCUUAACACAUGCAAGUCGAACGGAAAGGCUCCUGCUUGCAGGGGUACUCGAGUGGCGAACGGGUGAGUAACACGUGGGUGAUCUGCCCUGCACUUCGGGAUAAGCCUGGGAAACUGGGUCUAAUACCGGAUAGGACGAUGGUUUGGAUGCCAUUGUGGAAAGUUUUUCGGUGUGGGAUGAGCUCGCGGCCUAUCAGCUUGUUGGUGGGGUAAUGGCCUACCAAGGCGUCGACGGGUAGCCGGCCUGAGAGGGUGUACGGCCACAUUGGGACUGAGAUACGGCCCAGACUCCUACGGGAGGCAGCAGUGGGGAAUAUUGCACAAUGGGCGCAAGCCUGAUGCAGCGACGCCGCGUGGGGGAUGACGGCCUUCGGGUUGUAAACUCCUUUCGCUAGGGACGAAGCGCAAGUGACGGUACCUGGAGAAGAAGCACCGGCUAACUACG
rnacentral:rRNA from 1 species